rnacentral:rRNA from 1 species
CAGUCGCCGCGGGAAUACGAAGGGGGCUAGCGUUGUUCGGAAUUACUGGGCGUAAAGCGCACGUAGGCGGAUCGAUCAGUCAGGGGUGAAAUCCCAGGGCUCAACCCUGGAACUGCCUUUGAUACUGUCGAUCUGGAGUAUGGAAGAGGUGAGUGGAAUUCCGAGUGUAGAGGUGAAAUUCGUAGAUAUUCGGAGGAACACCAGUGGCGAAGGCGGCUCACUGGUCCAUUACUGACGCUGAGGUGCGAAAGCGUGGGGAGCAAACAGGAUUAGAUACCCCCGUAGUCCCUGUCUCUUAUAC